UGGCACCUUGAUGUCGGCUCAUCACAUCCUGGGGCUGUAGCCGGUCCCAAGGGUUUGGCUGUUCGCCAAUUAAAGUGGUACGUGAGCUGGGUUCAGACCGUCGUGAGACAGGUCGGUCCCUAUCUGCCGUGGGCGUACGAAAUUUGAGGAGGUUCUUCUUUAGUACGAGAGGAUUUAGAAGGACGUACCUCUGGUGUACCAGUUGUCACGCUAGUGGCACGGCUGGAUAGCUAAGUACGGAAAGGAUAAACGCUGAAAGCAUCUAAGCGUGAAGCCCUCUCCAAGAUCAGAUUUCGUUGAGCUUUAUGCUCGAAAGUCCCCUAGAAGACGACUAGGUUGAUAG
rnacentral:rRNA from 1 species